rnacentral:rRNA from 1 species
UACAGAGGUGGCAAGCGUUGUUCGGAAUUACUGGGCGUAAAGGGCGCGUAGGCGGUCUUGUAAGUCUUGUGUGAAAUCCCUCGGCUUAACUGAGGAACUGCACGGGAUACUGCGAGACUUGAGAUCGGGAGAGGGAAGCGGAAUUCCGGGUGUAGUGGUGAAAUGCGUAGAGAUCCGGAGGAACACCAGUGGCGAAGGCGACACGCUGGGCCGUACCUGACACUGAUGCGCGACAGCAUGGGGAGCAAACAGG